GGCUCUGUGGCCUAAUGGCUAAGGUGUCACUUUCCGGUUAUCGCAACUAGAUCAUGGUGAAGAUUCGGAGUUCGAGUCUCUGCAGAGUCG